rnacentral:rRNA from 1 species
UACGUAGGGGGCAAGCGUUGUCCGGAUUUAUUGGGCGUAAAGAGCGUGUAGGCGGCUUGGUAGGUCCGCUGUGAAAACUCGAGGCUCAACCUCGAGAUGUCGGCGGAAACCACUUGGCUAGAGUCCGGAAGAGGAGAGUGGAAUUCCCGGUGUAGCGGUGAAAUGCGCAGAUAUCGGGAAGAACACCUAUGGCGAAGGCAGCUCUCUGGGACGGUACUGACGCUGAGACGCGAAAGCGUGGUAGCGAACAGG